rnacentral:ncRNA from 1 species
GUAAUGACAGCGAAUGGGAAUAGUAGGUUGCACUUGAUUUUUUUAGAGAGUUGGCGGUAGGUGAAAGCCAGCAAAUCAUUCAACUGAACUCGCCCAGGAGUCGCUAUGGUGAACCAUUGAUAGCCAUUGCCGUUAAUCCGCGUUAAGGAAUCAAGUUGAGUGUUUUACACUAAUUUGGGUGGUACCGCGGGAGAUAUAGGCUCUCGUCCCUUUU